rnacentral:misc_RNA from 1 species
AAAUGCGAUAAGUAAUGUGAAUUGCAGAAUUCAGUGAAUCAUCGAAUCUUUGAACGCACCUUGCGCUCCUUGGUAUUCCUUGGAGCAUGCCUGUUUGAGUAUCAUGAAAUCUUCAAAGUAAAUCUUUUGUUAACUCAAUUGGUUUCUACUUUGGUAUUGGAGGUCUUUGCAGCUUCACACCUGCUCCUCUUUGUUCAUUAGCUGGAUCUCAGUGUUAUGCUUGGUUCCACUCGGCGUGAUAACUUAUCUAUCGCUGAGGACACUGUAAAAGGUGGCCAAGGUAAAUGCAGAUGAACCGCUUCUAAUAGUCCAUUGACUUGGACAAUACUUUUAUGAUCUGAUCUCAAAUCAGGUAGGACUACCCGCUGAACUUAAGC